AAAUUAUAAACGCCCACUAAGAUUUUUGUCUCUGUCAUUUGUAUGGGAUUAUGUAAGAGAGAGAGCGAUAUACCAACUUCUUUCCACGGAUAGGGUACAGCCAUUAUUAUAAA